UCAGAAAAGAUAACUAAUUAUCAUUUUAAACUCCCAAAGUUUAGGUUUUACUUUAAACUAUUUUCUG
rnacentral:tRNA from 1 species